GACUGGUCCAAGCACAAUGAUGUUUGCAACUAAUUGAUCACAACCAGUUACAGAUUUCUUUGUUCCUUCUCCACCUCCACUGCGUCACAUGACUAACCUUAA
ensembl:misc_RNA Y_RNA Y RNA